GGGGAUGUAGCUCAGUGGUAGAGAGCUUGCCUUACAUGCAUAAGAUCCUGGGUUUGAUCCCCAGCACCUCAA
rnacentral:tRNA from 1 species